rnacentral:rRNA from 1 species
UGCCAGCCGCCGCGGUAAUACAGAGGGUGCAAACGUUGUUCGGAAUUACUGGGCGUAAAGCGCGUGUAGGCGGUUCGUUAAGUCGGUAGUGAAAGCCCAUGGCUCAACCAUGGAAGUGCUGCCGAUACUGGCGGGCUGGAGUCCUGGAGAGGGUGGCGGAAUUCCCAGUGUAGAGGUGAAAUUCGUAGAUAUUGGGAGGAACACCGGUGGCGAAGGCGGCCACCUGGACGGGUACUGACGCUGAGACGCGAAAGCGUGGGGAGCAAACAGGAUUAGAUA